rnacentral:rRNA from 1 species
AGAGUUCGAUUAUGGCUCAGGAUGAACGCUAGCUACAGGCUUAACACAUGCAAGUCGAGGGGAAACGAUAUUGGAAGCUUGCUUCCGAUAGGCGUCGACCGGCGCACGGGUGAGUAACGCGUAUCCAACCUGCCCUUCACCACGGAAUAAUCCAGUGAAAAUUGGUCUAAUACCGUAUGAGGUCAUACGAUGGCAUCAGAAUAUGACGAAAGGUUUGGCGGUGAAGGAUGGGGAUGCGUCUGAUUAGCUUGUUGGUGAGGUAACGGCUCACCAAGGCGACGAUCAGUAGGGGUUCUGAGAGGAAGGUCCCCCACAUUGGAACUGAGACACGGUCCAA